AUUGAACGCUGGCGGCAGGCUUAACACAUGCAAGUCGAACGGUAGCAGGAGAAAGCUUGCUUUCUUGCUGACGAGUGGCGGACGGGUGAGUAAUGCUUGGGAAUCUGGCUUAUGGAGGGGGAUAACUACGGGAAACUGUAGCUAAUACCGCGUAGAAUCGGAAGAUGAAAGUGCGGGACCGCAAGGCCGCAUGCCAUGAGAUGAGCCCAAGUGGGAUUAGGUAGUUGGUGGGGUAAGGGCCUACCAAGCCUGCGAUCUCUAGCUGGUCUGAGAGGAUGGCCAGCCACACUGGAACUGAGACACGGUCCAGACUCCUACGGGAGGCAGCAGUGGGGAAUAUUGCGCAAUGGGGGGAACCCUGACGCAGCCAUGCCGCGUGAAUGAAGAAGGCCUUCGGGUUGUAAAGUUCUUUCGGUAUUGAGGAAGGUUGAUGUGUUAAUAGUACAUCAAAUGGACGUUAAAUACAGAAGAAACACCGGCUAACUCCGU
rnacentral:rRNA from 1 species